GGUGGCUCAGUGGUUGAGCACUUGUCUUGCAUGCCUGAGGCCCUGGGUUCGAUUCCCAGCACCA
rnacentral:tRNA from 1 species